UACGUAGGGUGCAAGCGUUAAUCGGAAUUACUGGGCGUAAAGCGUGCGCAGGCGGUUUUGUAAGUCUGUCGUAAAAUCCCCGGGCUCAACCUGGGAAUGGCGAUGGAGACUGCAAGGCUAGAAUCUGGCAGAGGGGGGUAGAAUUCCACGUGUAGCAGUGAAAUGCGUAGAGAUGUGGAGGAACACCGAUGGCGAAGGCAGCCCCCUGGGUCAAGAUUGACGCUCAUGCACGAAAGCGUGGGGAGCAAACAGG
rnacentral:rRNA from 1 species